rnacentral:rRNA from 1 species
GAUGAACGCUGGCGGCGUGCUUAACACAUGCAAGUCGAACGCUGAAGCUCCCAGCUUGCUGGGGGUGGAUGAGUGGCGAACGGGUGAGUAUCACGUGAGGAACCUGCCCUGAACUGUGGGAUAAGCCUGGGAAACUGGGUCUAAUACUACAUAGGACGCUCCAUCGCAUGGUGGGGUGUGGAAAGCUUUUGCGGUUUGGGAUGGUCUCGCGGCCUAUCAGCUUGUUGGUGGGGUAAUGGCCUACCAAGGCUUUGACGGGUAGCCGGCCUGAGAGGGUGACCGGCCACACUGGGACUGAGACACGGCCCAGACUCCUACGGGAGGCAGCAGUGGGGGAUAUUGCACAAUGGGGGAAACCCUGAUGCAGCGACGCCGCGUGAGGGAUGACGGCCUUCGGGUUGUAAACCUCUUUCAGUUGGGAAGAAGCCCCUUUUUGGGGUGACGGUACCUUCAGAAGAAGCACCGGCUAACUACGUGCCAGCAGCCGCGGUAAUACGUAGGGUGCGAGCGUUAUCCGGAAUUAUUGGGCGUAAAGAGCUCGUAGGCGGUUUGUCGCGUCUGCUGUGAAAGCCCAGGGCUUAACCCUGGGUUUGCAGUGGGUACGGGUAGGCUGGAGUGCAGUAGGGGAGACUGGAAUUCCUGGUGUAGCGGUGAAAUGCGCAGAUAUCAGGAGGAACACCGAUGGCGAAGGCAGGUCUCUGGGCUGUUACUGACGCUGAGGAGCGAAAGCAUGGGGAGCGAACAGG